rnacentral:rRNA from 1 species
AACUUGAAUAUUAGGAGUUAUGGGCUUUAAAUUCAAAGAAUUUGGCGGUAUUUUAGUCUUGUUAGAGGAACCUGUUCUGUAAGCGAUAUUACACGUAUAAUCUCACUUGCUUUUGUUUUAGCUUGUAUACCGUCAUUAUUAGAUAACCUUUAUUGAGGGAGUUAUUGACCUAUAAAAAAAUUAGAUAUAUUAGAUCAAGGUGCAGCUAAUGGGCAAGUAGAAAUGGGUUACAAUGAAAUUUAUUUAAACGAAUUAAUGUUUGAAAAAUUAUUAUGAAGGAGGAUUUAAUUGUAACAUAAAUUUAAUAAGUUUAUGUGGUAUGAGAACUACAAUAUGUACACAUACGCCCG